CAGCGGGGGUACCGGAUCCUGUCCGGUUGAGAUCAUACCCAAUGAACCUGAUGCGGGUAAUGCCGCCGUAGGGAAGCGAUUC
rnacentral:ncRNA from 1 species